CAGACAAAUCUCACAGCCACACAAACGCUUGCUUUUGCUUUUAAUGGCUCAACAACAACAUUUUCCAAUGUGAAACGUGUCUUCUCUGUCCUCCGCCCAAGCUGAUGGGAAAAUCUGAACAAGGCGAGGGGUAUCAGUCUCUCCAGCCUCUCUCUCCUCCCUCAUUCUCUUCUGGGACAGCUGCUCCUCGUCAUGCUGACCAUCUUGCUUGCUCUUCUACCUGGCUCUGGAGUGGGACACACUGUCACGCAGAGGCCAGAAUAUGCCCUCAAGAGAGCUGGAGAGAGUGUGGACCUCACCUGUUCUGGCAGGCUUGCCUACGUCUUGUGGUACCAGCAGCCUUCAAGAAAUAGUCUGAAGUUAAUAGCCAGCACUUCUCGGUGGCAUCAGAAUUCUUAUGAGGAAGGUUACAGUGAAGCCAAGUUUGAGAUAAGCAGGGACAAGAACAAUCUCUCCAUUAUGACUAUCAAGAAUGUGACAUCCAAGGAUGCUGCCACUUACUUCUGUGCUAUGAGUGAUCACACAAUGCAGCAAGAGCAUUAA